GCCUUCGUGAUGUAGUGGUAAGCACGCUCGACGCGUAACCGAGAGGUCAGUGGUUCGAUUCCCGGCGAAGGCA
rnacentral:tRNA from 1 species